rnacentral:rRNA from 1 species
AUCAUUAACACGUCCCCACAAUGGAAAAGGGAGGGGCAACUCACAGGCCCCUCCCUUCCAACACCCUCUCCGCGUACCUCUCCGUGUUGCUUCCCCGGGACGACGGUCCCCUCCGUCCGGUGUCGGACGCCUCUCGCCCCCCGUCACUCGACGGUCGCGGGUGGCGGCUCCCGUUCCCGAGCUGCCCGGGGAAGGUAACCCCCAAACAGAAAAUCGCAUUUGAACCAGAUGUCUGACGAGGGCCCAGGGCCCGAUGUAUACAAAUACUUGAAAACUUUCAACAACGGAUCUCUAGGUUCUCGCAUCGAUGAAGAACGCAGCGAAAUGCGAUAAGUAAUGUGAAUUGCAGAAUUCAGUGAAUCAUCGAAUCUUUGAACGCACAUUGCGCCCUUUGGCAUUCCUUAGGGCAUGCCUGUUCGAGCGUCACUAAAAGUCCCCCCCUCACACAAGCUGUGGUGAUGGCGUCGGUAGACUUGGCGGUCCCUGCGACCCCUCCCGUCCACCCCGUCAAAAUCGAUCGGCGGACAACUGAUAUCGGCUGCUGACUUAGUAGAAUCGACUCUUGUCGGCCACAGGUCGCGCAAUUGUCAGUCAGGAGUCGAGUCGAGUCCCGCCCCUUCUCCGGACCCCCGUCCAAACACCUCUGGGUUGACCUCGGAUCAGGUAGGGAUACCCGCUGAACUUAAGCAUAUCAAUAAGCGGAGGAAAA